rnacentral:rRNA from 1 species
UGGGGCCCUUUCCGGAUAUUGGGCGUAAGAGCUCGUAGGCGGUUUGUCGCGUCUGCCGUGAAAGUCCGGGGCUCAACUCCGGAUCUGCGGUGGGUACGGGCAGACUAGAGUGAUGUAGGGGAGACUGGAAUUCCUGGUGUAGCGGUGAAAUGCGCAGAUAUCAGGAGGAACACCGAUGGCGAAGGCAGGUCUCUGGGCAUUAACUGACGCUGAGGAGCGAAAGCAUGGGGAGCGAACAGGAUUAGAUACCCUGGUAGUCCAUGCCGUAAACGUUGGGCACUAGGUGUGGGGGACAUUCCACGUUUUCCGCGCCGUAGCUAACGCAUUAAGUGCCCCGCCUGGGGAGUACGGCCGCAAGGCUAAAACUCAAAGGAAUUGACGGGGGCCCGCACAAGCGGCGGAGCAUGCGGAUUAAUUCGAUGCAACGCGAAGAACCUUACCAAGGCUUGACAUGAACCGGUAAGACCUGGAAACAGGUCCCCCACUUGUGGCCGGUUUACAGGUGGUGCAUGGUUGUCGUCAGCUCGUGUCGUGAGAUGUUGGGUUAAGUCCCGCAACGAGCGCAACCCUCGUUCCAUGUUGCCAGCGCGUUAUGGCGGGGACUCAUGGGAGACUGCCGGGGUCAACUCGGAGGAAGGUGGGGACGACGUCAAAUCAUCAUGCCCCUUAUGUCUUGGGCUUCACGCAUGCUACAAUGGCCGGUACAAAGGGUUGCGAUACUGUGAGGUGGAGCUAAUCCCAAAAAGCCGGUCUCAGUUCGGAUUGGGGUCUGCAACUCGACCCCAUGAAGUCGGAGUCGCUAGUAAUCGCAGAUCAGCAACGCUGCGGUGAAUACGUUCCCGGGCCUUGUACACACCGCCCGUCAAGUCACGAAAGUUGGUAACACCCGAAGCCGGUGGCCUAACCCCUUGUGGGAGGGAGCUGUCGAAGGUGGGACUGGCGAUUGGGACUAAGUCGUAACAAGGUAACC